ACUGUCUCAUGGCACUGAGAAUUAAAUGAAAAAAAUAUGCAAAGCAUUGAGAACAGUGUCUCCAAGUGUUUGCUCUUUUCAUUUGCUAAUUUUAUAGGCGUGGAAACUGAAACUCAAGGGAAGUGGAGUUUCGAUUGGUACAUGGUGUGCCAGACCUUGGCCACAUUUGGCAGUCUUGUCCUCGAAAGGGUGCCAGGGUUGCCAAGGGUGCCGGCUGGUGAGGGGCAAGGAGAGAGGGUUGUGGCCGGGGGUCAGUGAGGAGGGAGGGGAGCUGCGGGGGAGAGUGAAGCAGUGCAUAAGGUGUCUGUCUCACCGUCUUGAGCCUUCCGAAACUCUUCUUUGGAAGCAAGGGGUGUCCGAAUAAGGAAGAAAUAAAGUCCCUUUAUUUGUAGGCACAGCUGCUUAAAGAAACAAGCUGGCCCCUGAUGGUGCCAGAGCUUCUUGACCUCUGCCCAGAUACCAGAGGGAGAUAAGACCCCCAAAACUGGCAGAAACUGGAACAGGCAACCCCUUGUUACCUUCAGAACUUUACCAUGUCAUUAUAAUGCUAACGUCCCCACCUGUAGAAGAAAAUCACCAUUAUUUCUGAACAUGUGUCAGAGGCGUGUGAACUAGAGCAACUCCAUCUUGAAUAAGAGCUGAGUAAAAUGAGGCUGAGACCUACUGGGCUGCAUUCCCAGACAGUUAAGGCAUUCUAAGUCACAGGAUGAGAUAGGAAGUCGGCACAAGAUACAGGUCAUAAAGACCUUGCUGAUAAAACAGUUGCAGUAAAGAAGCCGGCCAAAACCUACCAAAACCAAGAUGGUGACAAGAGUGACCUCUGCUCGUCCUCACUGCUACACUCCCACCAGAGCCAUGACAGUUUACAGAUGCCAUGGCAACAUCAGGAAGUUACCCUACGUGAUCUAAAAAGAGGAGGCAUGAAUAAUCCACCCCUUGUUUAGCAUAUAAUCAAGAAGUUUAGCAUAUAAUCAAGAAAUAACCAUAAAAAUGGGCAAUCAUCAGCCCUCAGGGCUGCUCUAUGAAGUAGAUUUUCUUUUAUUCCUUUAUUUUCAUAAUAAAUUUGCUUUCACUUUACUGUAUGGACUCACCCUGAAUUCUUUCUUGAGCGGGAUCCAAGAACCCUUUCUUAGUUCUAGAUCAGGACCCCUUUCUGGUAACACAUCUUGCAUUGUAUGGAGAGGCAUGUUUAUGAC
rnacentral:lncRNA from 1 species